rnacentral:rRNA from 1 species
UACGUAGGGUGCGAGCGUUAAUCGGAAUUACUGGGCGUAAAGCGUGCGCAGGCGGUUUUGUAAGGCAGAUGUGAAAUCCCCGGGCUCAACCUGGGAAUGGCAUUUGGGACUGCAAGGCUGGAGUACGGCAGAGGAGACUGGAAUUCCUGGUGUAGCAGUGAAAUGCGUAGAUAUCAGGAGGAACACCGAUGGCGAAGGCAGAUCUCUGGGCCGUAACCGACGCUGAGGAGCGAAAGCGUGGGGAGCGAACAGG